rnacentral:lncRNA from 1 species
CUGACUGCAUGGGCAGCUACACUAACAAGGUUGAACGUGGUGUUUAAAUCUUGAAGCUGACCUUUACCACUAAGCUGUCAGUCAGUGCUAGGAGUAACAAUAGACGAAGAGACCACUAGAAAAAUAGUGAGCCACAUGGAAACGUUUUUUACCAAGUGUGAAGAGGAAGAAGUGAGACCUAACUUAAGUUUUUCAACGCGCAACAGGUCGAAAGAAAUCAUGGAGAUAAAGCUUCGGGACAAGCAGCACUGCAAUGAUUCCCCGGGACUCAGCACCGCCGGAAGUGUUACUUAGCAGUGGUAAAUCCUUCUGAGUAAGGCUCCAUUCCUCUUCAGAAGCAUCUAAUAUGGCUGCAGACUGCCGCAAUGCCCACCUGCACAGGCUGGGCAUGACCAACUCUCCCCACUGCCCCUGGUGCCCUACACAGCCUGACACCCUAGAACAUCUGCUCCUACACUGCCCUCGUCACCACUCACACCGUGUGGCCCUCCUACACUGUGCUAUUCACCCACACAAGCCAACACUGACCAACCUCCUGGGUGGCUGCACAAAUCCCGCUCAGGCUUUCAAGACUUUCAACCUCACCAGGACCUUCCUACAGAAAACCAAUCAGCUCCAUCGCAUAUAGCCAGAACACAACACCGCAUAUUGCACCUUUGCGGCACUAAAGGCUGUGACACAGCCUGCACGGCCCCAACAAAUCUCCAAGAAGAAGAAAUGUCAGCCAUUUAGAUUUGCAGCUGUAAUUAAUGAAGUGUGUACCAGGCAGCCUACAUGUACAGACUUCAGUGAGUGUUGAGCUGACUCCUUCACUUAAGUGGAGUGGGUGCUAAGUUCUCUCACAUCAUCACAAUGGUUGCUGAAGCCUGAGCCAAUAUUGAAGGCAUGGUGCUGGCUGUGAGUGGGAUCAGGAGCAGGAGAUGCAAGCCACAUUCGCUGUGUGCAGUGUGAGGAGGAGGAGCGGAAGCUCCAAGUUUUUUAGCAGUGCUUCAGUGUUCAUAUAAAGUGUUUCAGGAAUCUACAUUUUCAUGGAUAGUGAAGAGCACCACAACACCAGAUAUCUGUUCUCUUAUAACCAAGAACCUCCUGUGACACCGCAUCAUCAUCACAUCAGUGGCAGGCUGGGGUGUAUUGCCAGCACUGUCUGCAUGGGUGUGGUGCAGAUUCACCAGUCUUCUGCUGUACAAGAGGAGGAUGGAAGUGGCUCCCCAUUGGCUUAAAAGAAACUGGUCUGAUGAACAGCUCCUUAAGUUCCCAUGCACCACCAGUUAAAUACUCUGCCUGCCCUACCUUCAAAAGUGGCUGGAUUCAACAGUUUAGUGUCUUACCAAGCAGGAUGCUUUUACUGAACAGUACCAAGUUGGAAAUACUCUUAAGACUCUCCAGAGAUAAUAAUGUAAUUAUUAAGAAUUAAAUAAAAGUAAUAAAGAUUUCCAGGGAGAACAAAUGCUUCUAUUUUUUAAUUCCUACACUACUGAAAAAUCUCCGAAGAAGAGUCUUUGGAGUAUUUUCGACUUGGUUAUAUCAACUGUUGAAAAUCCAGACCACAUUUUCUUGGGCUACUUCUGUCCUCUUCAAUGUAAGCUAGGAAGUCUAUGGAAGACAGCUUCUACUCUUCCUCUGGCUGUAGACAUGACUGACAGUAGUGGUGACACUCCCCUUGUAGCCUCUUCUUUUUUUUUUUUUGUUAGUUUUCUUGCAAGCUGUAAAUGGAAAAGAAAUUCAAAUCCUAAUCUUAUACUAAAUUAAAACAAAACACCAAUACAUAUUACUAAUUAUAUACUGUACCUACUGUAUUACAGUAAUAGUUGCUACAAUAUCAAGUUGUAUACUGUAAUAAUGUUUCACAACAUAAGUAAAACUCGACUUAAUUCC